AUUUAUUGUAUUCAGGUAAGCAUUUUCCAAACAUAGGUCGCAGCAUGCGUCUUUAGUAAUGUAGGUACGUGAGAUUUGUAGCACCUAAUUUUUUUUCUGGCUUCAAGUAGGAAGUUUAAAUAUAUUAUAAAGACUAGAAAAAGUCUUUCAUUUGUCGAUGCAUUUAAUGUUUUAGCUCUCACUUAAAUAAAUUCCCAACAAAUAUAGAAAAAUAUUUGCGGUCUAUUUUACACAUUUUUGGAGAUAUUUAAACGUUUUUAAGUACUCAAAAGUUAUCAUUUCUCUAAAAAUUAAAUACGCACAACAAGUAAGUUUAACACACUUUUCGUUACAACCCUUAAAUCCACCCAAACCCUUUUAUCUUAUCUUGGUUACGACGAGCGUUAAUCUCUAAAAACUUUGCAAAAACCAUAAACAUAGUUGUACUUAGCUUAGCAAAGCAAACUUUCUUUUUAAAAUUGUGUAUUUGGUUAAUUUUCAACGUAAAUAAUCGGAUAAGAGUCAUUGAAUAACAGGAACAAGAAUAAAAAAAUUUUUCUGGACCGGUUUUAUAUGGUGAAAUAUUAAUUUUUAGUUAAGUAACUAAAAAAUUAAAAGCACAAAAAAUUUAGUAAACUUUGCAAGUUAUAGUGUAAAAAAGAAAAUUACACCUCAAAAACAAAAAUCCAUUCACUAUUACAAUUUUCGGAGGUUAAAACCACUGGCGACUCCACUAAUAAGUUUAUCAAGAAU